AUAGCCUUUCGAAAGAAAGAUUAAUACUGGAUAGCAUAACGAGAAGGCAUCUUCUUGUUAUUAAAGAAUUUCGAUAAUCGAUGGGGAUGCGUUCCAUUAGUUUGUUGGCGGGGUAACGGCCCACCAAGACAUCGAUGGAUAGGGGUUCUGAGAGGAAGGUCCCCCACAUUGGAACUGAGACACGGUCCAAACUCCUACGGGAGGCAGCAGUGAGGAAUAUUGGUCAAUGGACGAGAGUCUGAACCAGCCAAGCAGCGUGAAGGAUGACUGCCCUAUGGGUUGUAAACUUCUUUUAUAUGGGAAUAAAGUGAGCCACGUGUGGCUUUUUGUAUGUACCAUACGAAUAAGGAUCGGCUAACUCCGUGCCAGCAGCCGCGGUAAUACGGAGGAUCCGAGCGUUAUCCGGAUUUAUUGGGUUUAAAGGGAGCGUAGGCGGAUUAUUAAGUCAGUUGUGAAAGUUUGCGGCUCAACCGUAAAAUUGCAGUUGAUACUGGUAGUCUUGAGUGCAGCAGAGGUAGGCGGAAUUCGUGGUGUAGCGGUGAAAUGCUUAGAUAUCACGAAGAACUCCGAUUGCGAAGGCAGCUUACUGGACUGUAACUGACGCUGAUGCUCGAAAGUGUGGGUAUCAAACAGGAUUAGAUACCCUGGUAGUCCACACAGUAAACGAUGAAUACUCGCUGUUUGCGAUAUACAGCAAGCGGCC
rnacentral:rRNA from 1 species